CUGUGCAAGUUUCUUGGUGACACUGCCAGUGCUGGGACUAUACAAAAUGCAUCCAGUCCACACUGUAAAGUGGUUGGCAUUUGGAAGGGCAUCCAGCUGUAAAAAUCAUACCAAAACUUAUCUUGGCUGUG